UUAUUGAACUUCUUUG
rnacentral:rRNA from 1 species